rnacentral:rRNA from 1 species
UGAUGCCUACGGGGGGCAACAGUGAGGUAUAUUGGUCAAUGGGAGGAAUCCUGAACCAGCCAUGCCGCGUGCAGGACGACGGCUCUACGAGUUGUAAACUGCUUUUGUACCGGGGUAAAAUGCCUUACGAGUAGGGUUUUGAAAGUACGGUACGAAUAAGGAUCGGCUAACUCCGUGCCAGCAGCCGCGGUAAUACGGAGGAUGCGAGCGUUAUCCGGAUUUAUUGGGUUUAAAGGGUGCGUAGGCGGUAUUUUAAGUUAGUGGUAAAACGUCGGGGCUUCACCUU